rnacentral:rRNA from 1 species
UACGUAGGCAGCAAGCGUUGUUCGGAAUUACUGGGCGUAAAGAGUGUGUAGGCGGUGCUCUAAGUUCGGUGUGAAAUCUCCCGGCUCAACUGGGGGGGGUGCGCCGAAAACUGGGGUGCUGGAGCGCGGGAGAGGAAAGCGGAAUUCCUGGUGUAGCGGUGAAAUGCGUAGAUAUCGCUUGGAACGCCGACGGUGAAAACAGGUUGCUGGGGAUGCGCCGACGCUGGAGACACGAAAGCCAGGGGAGCAAACGGG